rfam:Fusarium verticillioides 7600 chromosome 10, whole genome shotgun sequence.
GCCAAACUAGUGUAGUGGUAACACGUCCGCUUAUCACUGAUAAAUGCCUUUGUGCGGAAGUCAGCCCCAUGAGGGGGGGAAGCUCCUGGUUCGAUUCCUGGGCUUGGUA